AGUAAUAUUUGUGAAGGAUCAAGGGGGUCAGAAAAAGUCUCCAGACAGACAAGCUGGUGUGACACCUGCCAAGGGUGGAAGGCAGAGAGCAGAAAUGGGUGUGGCAGCUCCCUGUUGCCAGGAGGAUUCUGUGAAGUGACUCAUGGUCAGCCCAGAAGGCAGUUGCCGAGCACAGAUUCCCAGUCUGAACAGUCCUGAAGGCUCAGAAAUGUCACUCGGGCUCAGUCACUGCAGGACGGCUUGGGACGUUGCUGCAAGGAACCACAGAGUCCCCAGUCUGUCUCAUGACUGUGUUCCUUGUGACAGAACAGCAAGCUCUUUCCUGAAGGGAGAGUGGAACAGCACAGUCCACAAAGGUGGCAUGGGCUUGUUGGAGGAUGCAGUCCAUCAUGGCGGGGAAGGCAGCUGGCCACACUGCAGCCACAGUCAGGAAGCAGAGAGAGAUGAACUCUGUGCCAGCUCACUCUCCUCAUUCCACGCAGUCUGGGGCCUUAGCCCACGAAACGCUUCUGUCUAGACUUAAGGCCAUCAACCUAUGUGGGAGUUUCUUCAAGGUCAGUCAUAAUACUUGGCACUUCUCUUCUUCUGCUUUUUUGGAAAGCUCGAGUCAGUGCCCUAUCCCUGCGUCUCCUCUUCCACAUCCACCUCCACCAUCACGUGGCUCAUUCCCACCUUCCUUACAUUACGGCCAGUAGAUUCUCUAGAAGAGAGAACAGAGUCUAGAGCGGUCAUGUAAGUAAGGCCGGUCGGCAUGACCUUGACCCAGUGACAAGAAUCUAGAUGAGAACAAAGACACCUUGAAGGACGCUACUGUUGACAUGGGAAUGUUGACUCUACCUCGUGGAAGCCCUGUAAACAAGCAUGAAUCCCCCGGGGUAAAACUAUGUGUUUAUGUUGUCACUCAAAACCUCGAUGAAUGGAGGCACUAACUUCCAUCCUUAAUACCACACAGAACAACAAAAUGAAAUGAAAAACCUCUAAUGUGUAGGUGGAGACAAGGUUUCUUCUGUCACCCACGAGAGUAGAGGCUCUAUAUAGAAAUUAAA